rnacentral:lncRNA from 1 species
CUUCACUGCCUAAGCUGAUGAUUACGUUGAUGAUUCUCUAACGCGUCCACGUGCUGCGUGGACAAAGGCAUCCGACGAGUACGGGGUACAAUACACUGAGACGACAAACAGUCUGCAUCCGUGCCUAGAGCGGCAGUUGCAAAAGGAAAACACAAAUAGGCUGGCAGGGAAGAGCAAAGAGGAGCCCCACAAACGAAACAAUGUCGG